rnacentral:rRNA from 1 species
UACGUAGGGCGCAAGCGUUGUCCGGAAUUAUUGGGCGUAAAGAGCUCGUAGGCGGUUUGUCGCGUCUGCUGUGAAAGCCCGGGGCUCAACCCCGGGUCUGCAGUGGGUACGGGCAGACUAGAGUGCAGUAGGGGAGACUGGAAUUCCGUGGUGUAGGCGGUGAAAUGCGCAGAUAAUCAGGAGGAACACCGAUGGCGAAAGGGCAGGUCUCUGGGCUGAUUGACUGACGCUGGAGGAGCGAAAGCAUGGGGAGCGAACAGGAAUUAGAUACCCGGCGUAAGUCC